rnacentral:rRNA from 1 species
GAUGAACGCUAGCGGCAGGCCUAACACAUGCAAGUCGAGGGAGAAGCCUUUCGGGGCAGAAACCGGCGCACGGGUGCGUAACGCGUAUGCAACCUACCUUUCACAGGGGGAUAGCCCGAAGAAAUUUGGAUUAAUACCCCAUAAUAUUGUUGGAUGGCAUCAUCUGAUAAUUAAAACUGCGGUGGUGAAAGAUGGGCAUGCGUCCUAUUAGCUAGUUGGAGUGGUAACGGCACCCCAAGGCUACGAUAGGUAGGGGUCCUGAGAGGGUGAUCCCCCACACUGGUACUGAGACAGGGACCAGACUCCUACGGGAGGCAGCAGUGAGGAAUAUUGGUCAAUGGUCGGAAGACUGAACCAGCCAUGCCGCGUGCAGGAAGAAUGCCUUAUGGGUUGUAAACUGCUUUUAUAUGGGAAGAAUAAGGUGUACGUGUACAUUGAUGACGGUACCAUAUGAAUAAGCAUCGGCUAACUCCGUG